rnacentral:lncRNA from 1 species
AUGUCCUGCACUGGCUGCAGGUGUCCUGGAGCUCUCCUGAAGCAGAGCUCCCAUGGCUCAGAGUCAGAAUUUACCACCACAGAGAACAGCUACUGCUGCAUUCUACUGUUCCUUCUCCAUAUUGUCUCAAACUGCUCGGGAUUGUAUGAGCUCUGCAAAGGCAACAGAAAGGAUAAACUGAGCAGCUUUGUGCCUGUCAUCAUGCUGC